CUGAUAAACAUUGUGGAAUAUAUGGAAAUACCAUUUGUCAUAAUCCAUAUACAAUAUACUCUUAUCAAUGUAGUUGUCAGGACCAAAUUUUUAGAGGUUAUAAAGUGUAUCGCAUGUGACAAAGUUGCUCGCGGUUUUUUUAUAUUACCAAACGCAUGCGCAUUAAAUUAAUGUGCCAGGUAAAUUUUGAAAUUUGUAUAGAUUAAUACAUUUAAAGAGCAUGAUACAGGGUUCAUAUCUGUAAAGACCUUAGACCAAACAGUAAUCAGAAACUGGAAGUUAAGAUCUAGUAAACAGACGCAAUAUAUAAAUAAAGCCUGUUUUGCUCGUUGAAUAAUUCACACGGCCAAGAUGCUGCUAAAUUUCAGGUUAUGCUUGCGUACGUUCGCACCAUAACAGUACUACCAACAGUAAGUGUGUCAAGUAUAAGUCGCGGUCAAGAAUACCGCUUUAAUUAAGAAAGCCCGAGGGGUAGCGGGAAUAUGCCGAUACCCACCGGUUACAGCCUUCGAACGUGUUGUAAAUACAUUUUAGAGGUCCCGAUGUUUCGGGUGUAUCGACAGCAAACUGCUGGCAAGGUAGAGUGGAAGGGAUCGGGUCGCCAACGACCCAAACCGACAACGAUGUUACUCGAUGUCAUUGGCCUUUGUGACUCGUAUGUUAAUCCGUCUUAUGUUCACGUGUCCCGAGCAAUUGGCUCCUAUUGCUUGACACGGCUUGGCAAGUUCCUAUUUAGUAGCCGAAUCCUCGAAAUCGGUCCCUGCUUUAGCUUCCGUUUCCCAGAAACCUGCCACUCUUUGAAACCCAACACACCAGUUGACCUUCGAAGAAUUCCACGAAGUGUUCGAGGAAACAAAGGGCCCCUGGUGCGGUCACCGUCGUUCGGGCUCCAUCAUUCGUGCGGUGCGUGUCACGGGGAUCGUGCGUGGCUCUGCUCGUCCGUUAUAUUCUCACUUAGAAUAAUUCAGUGACUAACGCGCGUCCCACGAGGAACGUUCUUGUGUCGUCUAUCCUCUGUUUAAAAUCUGCAUACGCGUUCAACGAUCAUGAGACUUUUUCUUGUUACGAGACCGGUAAAUUAGAUCGCGAGGAGAUCCAGGAUGCACAACGCGGAAGGAAAACGGGAUACGGAAGACGGGAAAAGCGUAUUCAACUAGGUCUGGACUAAUGCAAAUAUGUAGCGUUGAUAUCAAAUUGCACCAGUCCCGGCCUGAUUGAGUACGCGUGAAACAACGGAAGAAGAAUCGAAGGUGUGGUCGUUCGUCUUGGUUAAUUUCAUCUGCUUCCCAUGGGAAAUACAAUGUGUUAUAUAUACUCAGUACAUUAAUCUAGAUUAUUGUAUCGAUGAUCAAAGAGCAAUUAUACAGCUUUCUUUUUGUUUAUUAGAACGAUUCUGUUUAAAUAUUAUAAAAAAGGUAGUACAGUCAUUUCUUGAUCACCCAAUACAAUUGUUUGAUUUUAAACACUCUUGUGUAACACUUCAUUCAUUCCUUACUCCUGCCAAGCUUUUGUAAUCCAUAUUGUAUAACUUACUAGGAAUCGUAGCGAUGUAUGCAAACGAAUAAAAACUGUCCGCUAUAAUUGCGAGAAGAUUGCCUAUACUUAUUAGUCAUUGAUGCGCGAAAAGACUUUAGAAGAUUGUGUAACGCUAUUACGUCCCGCUAUUGUACGCUUGUUAUAAUACUAUAAAACUGGAUUCGGUUGCCUGGAUACUGGUUCUUUCCCCAUUCAGGUUGUGCCGAGCCCCUUUGUGCACGGUAAACAAAGAAAAAUUUGAUCCCGCCGAUAGAGGCGGCAGAGCCAAAGCGCAUGCGCAGCGAUUGUUGAACGUGCAUCAUUCGCGGAACAACGUAUUUAUCUGGCCAGGUGUUGGUAGAUUAGGAAUGUUUUUCGCUCGAGUUAACGUGCGUGAAAUUGAACGCUCGUGCACGCAUGCUUUCGUUUUACCGUGCAUCGAUCUCACGGCAAUGAAAUUGAUUAUGAAAUAAUAUAGGAAAAGUGAGCGAGAUGCUCUCAACGUCAAUUGUACCCGGGUGUUUCUGCCUCUAAGCGGUCGCAAUUAUGUUAAUUGAGUCACCAUUAAUAGUCGUAACAGAGGAUAAUUGACACAUUUAACGAUGAAUUUUCGGAGAUUCUUACGAUCCUAAAACCGAAACCGAAAAUUUCACGAAAGUUAUACAAAGCACUCGUGAAGGAACUUAAUGAUAAUAUGACUUCUGAUUUGGAUGAUAUAUUCAACGAUGGUAGUGUACAGG